UGGGGAAUCUUCCGCAAUGGGCGAAAGCCUGACGGAGCAACGCCGCGUGAGUGAAGACGGCCUUCGGGUUGUAAAACUCUGUGAUUCGGGACGAAAGAUAAGUAGACGAAUAAUCUGCAUAAGUGACGGUACCGAAAAAGCAAGCCACGGCUAACUACGUGCCAGCAGCCGCGGUAAUACGUAGGUGGCAAGCGUUGUCCGGAAUUAUUGGGCGUAAAGCGCGCGCAGGCGGCUACUUAAGUCCAUCUUAAAAGUGCGGGGCUUAACCCCGUGAUGGGAUGGAAACUGCGAAGCUGGAGUGUCGGAGAGGAAAGUGGAAUUCCUAGUGUAGCGGUGAAAUGCGUAGAGGUUAGGAAGAACACCGGUGGCGAAGGCGACUUUCUGGACGACAACUGACGCUUAGGCGCGAAAGCGUGGGGAGCAAACAGG
rnacentral:rRNA from 1 species